rnacentral:rRNA from 1 species
UUGCUAACGCGUGAAGGCGAGCACUCUAGACGAACUGCCGUUGACAAAACGGAGGAAGGUGGGGAUGACGUCAAAUCAUCAUGCCCCUUAUGUUCUGGGCUACACACGUGCUACAAUGGCCGGUACAGACGGACGCAAAGCCGCGAGGUGGAGCAAAUCCUAAAAAGCCGGUCUCAGUUCGGAUUGCAGGCUGCAAUUCGCCUGCAUGAAGUCGGAAUCGCUAGUAAUCGCAGGUCAGCAUACUGCGGUGAAUACGUUCCCGGGCCUU